CUGGUUUGCAAUUUCAAAAACUUUCUAAGGACGUUACAACAGAGAGAGAGUGAGAGAGGGUUUAAGGAGGGUUCUAUAGACUUCCUCUUCUUCCGCCGAUUCGCCGACCUCCUCCGCUUUUUCUCUUCGCCGGGAGUCCAUUCCGCCGCUACUCUCGAAGCCGUCCAAGUCCAGGGGGAAAAGGAUUUGCUGACUAAAUAGGAAGCCUUUAGUUGUAGCUAUAAGAAGGUUCUCUGCUCAAAUCGGAGAAAAGAUAUAGAAAGAUCGAUGGACAAGGUGAAAAUAGAAGAGGUUCAAUCCACUACCAAGAAGCAACGCAUAGCUACUCACACCCACAUCAAAGGCCUUGGUCUUGAGGCCAAUGGAAGAGCAGUACCUUGGGCUGCUGGCUUUGUGGGUCAAGGGGAGGCCAGAGAAGCUGCUGGUCUUGUAGUUGAUAUGAUACGGCAGAAGAAGAUGGCUGGUAAGGCACUUCUACUGGCUGGACCUCCUGGAACUGGAAAGACAGCACUAGCGCUUGGAAUAGCCCAGGAGCUUGGCAGUAAGGUUCCAUUCUGCCUGAUGGUUGGAUCUGAAGUAUACUCAUCAGAAGUUAAGAAGACUGAGGUUUUAAUGGAAAAUUUUAGACGGGCUAUUGGUUUACGCAUCAAGGAAAAUAAAGAGGUCUAUGAAGGAGAGGUAACGGAACUAACACCAGAAGAGACUGAGAGUGUUACAGCAGUAAAAGCAUUAGCCAUGUAAUUAUUGGAUUAAAAACUGUCAAAGGAACCAAACAACUGAAGCUGGACUCCACUAUUUAUGACGCACUGAUUAAGGAAAAGGUAGCUGUUGGUGAUGUCAUAUACAUUGAAGCAAAUAGCGGAGCAGUAAAAAGGGUAGGUAGAAGUGAUGCUUUUGCCACCGAAUUUGAUCUGGAAGCAGAAGACUAUGUUCCACUACCAAAAGGAGAUGUUCACAAAAAGAAGGAGAUUGUCCAGGAUGUUACACUGCACGAUCUGGAUGCUGCAAAUGCACGACCUCAAGGUGGGCAAGAUAUAUUAUCUCUAAUGGGUCAGAUGAUGAAACCAAGGAAAACAGAAAUUACUGACAAAUUGAGGCAGGAAAUAAAUAAGGUUGUUAACCGGUAUAUUGAUGGAGUAGCAGAGCUAGUACCUGGAGUUCUAUUCAUUGAUGAGGUACAUAUGCUGGAUAUGGAAUGCUUUUCAUACUUGAACCGUGCUUUAGAGAGCUCAUUAUCUCCAAUAGUAAUAUUUGCUACAAACAGAGGAAUUUGCAGUGUAAGAGGGACUGAUAUGACUAGUCCUCACGGAAUACCUGUUGACUUGUUGGACCGCUUGGUGAUUAUCCGAACUCAAACGUAUGGUCCUGAAGAGAUGAUAAAGAUCCUAGCAACCCGUGCACAGGUGGAGGAACUAGUUAUCGAGGAGGAGAGUUUGGCUUACCUGGGAGAGAUAGGCCAAAAAUCAUCUUUAAGGCAUGCUGUUCAGCUCUUAUCACCUGCAAGCAUUUUGGCGAAAAUGAAUGGCAGAGACAACAUCUGCAAGGCGGAUCUAGAAGAAGUCGAUACACUAUAUCUGGAUGCGAAGUCAUCAGCAAAGGUUCUCCAAGAGCAGCAGGAAAAAUACUUCUCCAAGAGCAGCAGGAAAAAUACAUUUCGUAAUUAGUACUAACUGAGCAAUGUAGCUGGUCCCUUCAUUUGAUUUUGAAGCAGCAAUAUUGGUGUUCCUAUUUGCCAAACUCAGCAUCUGACUUGGACGUUUAGACGCACAGAAGACAGAUGAUCAGAUCCACACAUUUAGCAAGUGGGUUAUAAAUAAGAUCAUAUAUACAAGAUCAUGUGGAUAUAGAU